rnacentral:rRNA from 1 species
UACAGAGGUCUCAAGCGUUGUUCGGAUUCAUUGGGCGUAAAGUGUGCGUAGGCGGCGCGGUAAGUCGGGUGUGAAAUCUCGGAGCUUAACUCCGAAACUGCAUUCGAUACUGCCGUGCUUGAGGACUGGAGAGGAGACUGGAAUUUACGGUGUAGCGGUGAAAUGCGUAGAUAUCGUAAGGAAGACCAGUGGCGAAGGCGGGUCUCUGGACAGUUCCUGACACUGAGACACGAAGGCCAGGGGAGCAAACGGG